GGGUUGUGAGGUUAAGCGACUAAGCGUACACGGUGGAUGCCCUGGCAGUCAGAGGCGAUGAAGGACGUGCUAAUCUGCGAUAAGCGUCGGUAAGGUGAUAUGAACCGUUAUAACCGGCGAUUUCCGAAUGGGGAAACCCAGUGUGAUUCGUCACACUAUCAUUAACUGAAUCCAUAGGUUAAUGAGGCGAACCGGGGGAACUGAAACAUCUAAGUACCCCGAGGAAAAGAAAUCAACCGAGAUUCCCCCAGUAGCGGCGAGCGAACGGGGAGCAGCCCAGAGCCUGAAUCAGUGUGUGUGUUAGUGGAAGCGUCUGGAAAGGCGCGCGAUACAGGGUGACAGCCCCGUACACAAAAAUGCACAUGCUGUGAGCUCGAUGAGUAGGGCGGGACACGUGGUAUCCUGUCUGAAUAUGGGGGGACCAUCCUCCAAGGCUAAAUACUCCUGACUGACCGAUAGUGAACCAGUACCGUGAGGGAAAGGCGAAAAGAACCCCGGCGAGGGGAGUGAAAAAGAACCUGAAACCGUGUACGUACAAGCAGUGGGAGCACGCUUAGGCGUGUGACUGCGUACCUUUUGUAUAAUGGGUCAGCGACUUAUAUUCUGUAGCAAGGUUAACCGAAUAGGGGAGCCGAAGGGAAACCGAGUCUUAACUGGGCGUUAAGUUGCAGGGUAUAGACCCGAAACCCGGUGAUCUAGCCAUGGGCAGGUUGAAGGUUGGGUAACACUAACUGGAGGACCGAACCGACUAAUGUUGAAAAAUUAGCGGAUGACUUGUGGCUGGGGGUGAAAGGCCAAUCAAACCGGGAGAUAGCUGGUUCUCCCCGAAAGCUAUUUAGGUAGCGCCUCGUGAAUUCAUCUCCGGGGGUAGAGCACUGUUUCGGCAAGGGGGUCAUCCCGA
rnacentral:rRNA from 1 species